ACUAUGGCAAUGCCGCCGCUCGCCCCGGGGCGCUAGUUUGGGGCCGGGUUUUCGGUGCAGGUGCCCGGCGGGUGCGAGGGCGCUGGAGAUGGCGGCUGGGAGACACCAGCAGAGUCCCGGAAGCCCGAGACGUCCCAGGCACUUCGGUUGCGCUCCCAGCCGGCAGAGGCGCGCCUGGAUUCUGAGACCAGGAAUCGGAGCUGCGCUAUUAGAGCGCAGGAUGGAGGAAGGUAGCCUGGGCCCAACUGAACUCACUGUGUAUUCAGAAAAUAACCCACAGUUGGGAAAUUCACAGUGCCAUUGCUUUGAAUCAAAUCCUUACUUCAUACCAGGAUGUACCAUGAUUCUUGGCAACAUGACUGGGUAUUGAUGUCUUGUCUAGCCAAUGAAAUCCACAUAGCAAAGAUGUUAUGAAGACAUGGAAACAUGAAUAUGAAAUAAAAUCAGUAUAGCUAUUUGGAUGAUUAGCUAUCGACACAAGACAGUCCCUGGUAAUUGCCUUUAAUAGUAAGGUAGCACUAGGCCAUGAAAGGUGCUUCAGUGUACCUGCCUCAUUUGUGGCUCCCUUUUGGCCAUGUGACCCUAACUCCCCUGGUCACAAGUGGCUGAACCAGCAAUCAAUACCUGACCUGAAGGCAACCCUCUAUAGGCUGGCAAGUGGCCUACAAAGUUGCUCAGUGCUAGAGAACUGAGCCCAACAGAAGUACAUUCUAAUGUUUAGUGAUUGGCCAAUCGUAUUCUUUGUGAUGGUGCUGAUGGGAAGGUAGUGAUGUGCAUCAGACAUGCAGAGUUAGUAGCAGCUGGAGCAGACACAGAAGCCUCCCUAACAAUGGGCAAUGGAGAAAGGAACAACAGACAGUUCUGAAAGAAUACCAAGUGCUCCUAAGCCAAAAGCUAUAGUUAGGCUGCUGGAGGUACUGCCAGUCCUAAAUGAUGGCAAUGAUGGUCCAUUUUUCUGUGAAACUUGACUGUAUACCUGUUAAGAUUUUUUUGUGUUCUUUUUAAGGCUCCAUGAAUGAAUCUUUCCAAUAAACAAGUUUGUAACAAA
rnacentral:lncRNA from 1 species